AUAGAUAGAUAGAGCAUGUUCAAUGGUGGCCUUGCAAGGUACACAGAGAAACUCCUAGCAGAUAAACAGGAGGCAGUACAAAGAAGCCCCAUGAUCGGCCUGGGCUGCACACCCAACAUCAAGGACCAUCUCUCUACAGAUGUGCCCAAAGAAGUUUAACAGGCAGCUUAACAGAUGUCCAAAGCUGCAGAUCAGAGGGGAUAUAAAACAGUUAAAGCUGCUCCAAGGCACAAUGUGUCACCAUCUAACAGUUACAAGCAUCCCUGACCGCACUGAGGAGGAACAUGCGCAGGCCGGUGCUCCUGGCUGUCCGCAUGCCAGGAAGAUUAUAAAACCGCCACGCUGUGAUAUGUAGCCCUCCUGCCGGGGAAGCAACGAUUAAGCUGAGUAUUUACGGCACCUAUUCAGACAGGAACGGCCUGCGAGGAGUGCUACCUGUCUUCUGGUUGGAUAAAUUAGUUAAGCAGCAGUCAUCCUAUUCUGUGAGUCUCAGGCGUAGGUUCAGGAAAUGACUUGAAGUAAAAUCAAUGGAGCCGGCCAGGUUCCCUACACACGGGAUAUAAUGCUUCAUUUUCUUCCUUUCUGAGAUAAAAACAGGGACAAAGAAGCCUCUCCAGGGGGCAGCAAGCUCGCCCUCUUCUGCCACUGCGCACAGACUUUAGGUUCCAUACCUCAGGGCACACCUCCCUGGAGAAGUGUGUGUUGUCUCUUUCUAAGGUAAGUGCACAGUGCCAUGACUUUCUGUUUCCCUGAUUCCCAGGCAACCCUCCUACCUAGGUUACAGCUAUUUUCUCCUGUUGUCAGAAAUGGGGUUUAAUCUUUUUCUCGUUCACUUUCUCUGUUGCUCUUGAGGAAAAAAAUGGGAAGCAACAGCUUUAUGUCCCUGUUUGCAAACCUGAAUCUCUUCCUUCCACUCUCGUAAAAGUGACCAUUGUUCUUUGCGUUUUAUAAUGUUGACAGCAAACUAGAACAUGUAUAAAAUUAUACACAAGUUCACCAGUUUAUAUUGUAACUUGCAUAUGUCUACAUUUAUUUGUAGUCUAUUCUUAUAUAAUCUCCCAUUUCCUAUUUGAGCCCAGCCCAGAUCUUAUUUAUCCCAGGCUGGCUUCAAACUCACUAUGUACCUGAGGAUGACCUUGAACUUUGAAUCCUCCAGCCUCCAUCUCCCAAGAGCUGGGAUUACAGAUGUGAACCCCCACUCCUGGAUUGUAAGGAGUAAACACACCUGACUGGCUGAGCUACAUCCAAGCCAGCAUGGCUCUCACUUACUAGAUAACUACUCAAAGAAGCUUAAAGAAUGCUAACAGAGAUCAGUGGCAUUAAAUGGUGCUAUAAGAGCAGAGACACAGAGCUUUGGGUCCCUCUUCUAAUAAGCCAGGAUGACUCAUUGAAGAGGAUGUUGUAAAUCCUUUAUAUAACUGUGGAACACAAGACUCAGAGUGGGAACGUGUCCUCUUAAAAGGCCACACAGCUGAAUGGCAAACCUUAGUCCCUGAGAUUCAAGAAGUAACAAUGUCCCCUGGUAGAACAUGUGGUCAAACAAAAGCAAAUCCCACUGUUCAGAAGCUGCUGAGUCACAGAACUGUCCUAAUCAAGAUACCUUAGCCCUCUUCUCUUUGUAGUAUUUUAAAAAGGUAUCUAUAAUGAAUGCUUUCCUGCAGGUAUGCAAACAUAUCACAUGUGUGCACUGCCAGCAGAAGCCAAAAGAAGACAUCAAUUCCCCUGGAAAUGGAGUGACAGACAGUUGUUAGCCAUCAUCUGGGUGCUCAGAAUCAAACCCAGGUCCUCUGAAACAGCAGCCACUGCUCUUAAUGGAUAAGUCAUCUCUCCAGCCCCACCCCUGCACUCUUCAUAUUUUAAAAACAAAAGUAGAAAUCUUUUUUUUUAAAAAAUCUAAAGCAAUCUCUUGAUAUUGGUUACAUAACACAAAAUAAAGUAGAGGUUCAUACAUA